UACAGUGAUCUUCAGUUCGUCUGGUCUGGAGGUCAGUUUGUAUGUUCUAGUUCUGGGACAAACUUGUCUAAAACCUGAGGGAGAAAUAGAUGGAUAACUUCCUCUCACAAGCAUCUGGACAAACUCUAAUGAGGGUGACUCAAUUUGAAAUUUCUUUUACAGAUGUCCAGAAUUUUUCAGAUUUCCAUUCAUCAGCGUCUCUCACGGUGAAUCCUGACAGAGUGCAGCACUUCACCUCUGACUCUGUCUCUCUGAGCUGUGAGGGAAACUCUACUGAGUGGAGAGUGAGGAGGUUUACUGAUGAUGGCGUCCUGUCACACUGUUCUACCUGGGGGACAAUGACUGGAUCAACAUGCAAUGUUAAUAGGUUAAGGAACAGUAAUGCAGUGUAUUGGUGUGAGUCUGAAUCAGCUUUCAGCAACGCAGUCAACAUCACUGGACAGAAUAAAGACAUCAUCCUGGUGAGCCCUGUCCAUCCUGUUACUGAGGGAGAUUCUGUUUCUCUUGGCUGCAAGUUGAAGACACAAAAUGUUCUUUCUACUGUGUUUUUCUAUCACAAUGACAAACUCAUCCAAAAUGAUACCAGAGAGGAGCUGAAUAUCUCUGCAGUGUCAAAGUCAGAUGAAGGCUUCUACAAGUGUCAGUCCUCAGGAAAACAAUCACCACAGAGUUGGGUGGCUGUAACAUGUGAGUUUGAUUUUAUAGUGUGAUACAGUGUGGGAUGAAUGUUUUUGCAAAGGCCACAGCACCUGAAAUGUGUAAAUAAUAUCUACAAAGGUUUUAACAAAGGUGAGGGGAAAUUAUUUGGCUUGGGAAAUGCCGAGAACUUCCUGUGAAACUUUGUGUGAUGUCAGAAUGUCUAUGAAUGGUUUAUGUCGUUGGUCUUCAUGACGGGGUUCGCAUAGGUACUGCAAAAUAUUUGGUUGAUUAGAAUUUUUAUUUUUUUUUACUAUAUAUUUUUUUAUACUACACUAUAAAAAUAAACAAUAUGCCUAAUUAAGCAAGAAUCUUUAUUCUAAAAAGAGGACACCCACACCAUCUCUUUUAUGCUCUUUAAUUCAAGAAAGAAUUUCACGGAAAAAUGUGUCAGCACAAAGCAAAAUGUCUCAAACUCAAAUGUAUCAUUUCAAUUAUCAUUGGAAUUGCGUAUCAUCAUUAAAUCAUUAAGUCUUUCUCAGAUAUGCCAUUACAUAUGUGUAACAGGUCCCAGGCAGAGUACCUGUACACAGAUAAGACUCCUGUAAAACAGGAGAAAGAAUUAGACAGACGACUGGUUGCUUCUGUUCGAUGUAACUUCGCUCAUUAGAAUGAGGAAGUCAACAAGAGUUCGUUCCUAAAGAAAGUCCAAGCGGAGAACCAACCGGCCACACUGCCCCCUACUGGUGACACUGAUUAACUCUCUUUGCUUUUGCUCUAUCCACAGGUAAUAAUUGACUAUUUUGGCACAUAUCAGCACGUUUCUUUCACAAAAACAAUGCGUUCAAAAUACAACAAACCAAAUUACAUGAAAUGUGACCUUACAUUUCAUGAGCAUCACAUAUGCAUCAUCAAACGGGAAACCGUCCAGGGUCUCCGUCUGUGACCCUGACGUCAAAUAUUCAAUGACUUCAGUGUCGGAUUUGUAAGGGCCUUGAUCCUCCUCGUCAAAAUCAAAAAAGUCAUUCUCGCUUCCGCCGGAGGCUUUGAUAUGUGGAGUAUGCAAGUCCUGCUGUUCGCGGGGUGAAGCCACGGCAUUCUGUGGUCAGCGGUGUCCUUAAAGCAUCUCCUCCCCUCUUCUUUCAGCCACCUCACUUUAAACUUUGACAAUGUCACAGCAGCAAGUAGGGGAUCUUUGCUGUCCAACACCGAUGCAAAACGCGUCUUAAUGGGACGCGGCAUCCUGUAAUGGGUUCCAUCUCGUUGUUGUUGGUACCUUGAGUUUUUUUAAACAUAUAACCUCAACAAGCUCAGAGGCCACAGCAGUUUUCAACAACAUUAGUAGAAAUCAAGUUCAGUGUGUGCGAUGCACAUCUCAAAUGAAGGGGUAGUGAAUACUGUCCCUCUGGGGUACCGCUGGAGAGGACUUUGUGAACACCACAUCUUCAUCUCCACCUUCCUCCUUGUCUGAAUCUGACGGUCCAGGCUCAUACAUUUUGAACGCUUUGAUAGAAUUUGACCCAUUGUCUGUUACAGUAGCGGUCACCUUGUGUGACAGAUCAUGCGCUGAGUGAACCUGUUCAAUUUCACCGGCUCUGACAUCAUACGUAUGUCGUCCUUUUAUUCUUUUACAGGCAACAAGCGAGAUGUCAUACCUAAAAAGCUUUUACUGUGGCAAGCCAAAAUGUCAGCGGUAGUAGAAGUCGUGUAUGCAGUGGUGGAUAACUGUUUCUGCCCCGGGCACAGCUUACAUCUCACCAUCACAUUCUUUUCUUUUCUUCCAACAAACUUUUAAGUAAUGGGAAAAUUUCCAUCUUUCAAAUGACGUUUCCAUUUCUGUUGUGGGUCUCUUCAUCUCCUUUCUCUUCUUCAUCUCUGCGAGUCAGGUUAAUGAUAUUCGUCAUGCUGCUUACCACUUACCAUAGUUAUAUAUAUAUGGGUCUUCAUAGUCAUAGUUUGUUUCGUUCAUGUUUUUGUAAAGACUUUUUGGCAUGCAAUAUGUAAUGUACAUUAAGUUUGUUCAUUAAUAGUUACAGACUCUGAGCCUGAAAGCAACUUUCCAUUUAUUAUUGGGCUGGUUUGUGGAAUUCUCCUGAUUAUUCUCCUGCUUUUUCUGCUACUGCUGUGUUGCUGCAGAAAAAGAAAUGGUCCAUGCAGUAUCAGUCUCACUCGGUCUCUGUUCAUCAAUCAAGGCUCUGCUACACACCAUGGUGUUGUCUCUGUCUACGAAUACACCAGAGGCUCUGGAAACACAGGAAGUGGUACAGUAGAAACUUUGAUUCAUGUGGAGCUGUCAGACAUUAGAUUAUUAUCAGUGACUGAUCUAAACAUAUUUAUUCUCAUUUCAGAUGAACCAGCCACGUUGUACAGCAGUGUUGCAUCGUCUGCAUCUCCACUUCAGCUUCAAACCAUUAAUAAGAGAAGUGUUUUCUCUGUCUAUGAAUACGGCAGAGGAUCUGGAAACACAGGAAGUGGUGAACCAGACUCUGUGUACAGUAAUGUUGGAUCUCUUCACCAGCUUCAAGGUCUUAAUAAGAGGAGAGAGAACGCAAAAUAUAAAACGUAAAAUGUAAAGAUGCGGUCGCAUUUGUUGUUAACACUGUAAAUAAAUAAAUAAACUUUUUAAUUACUUUUAAAUCUUGAACUUUCACAAACUUGAUAAUAAUGAUAGUUCAUGUAGAAGGCUGCCACAAUUAUGUUCAUUUCUCCUUCUAAUGUAUGAGUAUGUAAGUUAUUACUGCAGUGAAUCUGUAGUUAUCACUUACGUUAUUUUAUUUAUUUUACCUGUGUUUGGGAGUAAAUGAAUGAUAGGGAUAAAACUCUUUGAAAUGGCUCCACUGCUGAGUUAGAAUGAUAUAGCUGAAACCUUCAAUGUAAUCAUAUACUCUAGUACGUAAUAACAUGACACCAAAACGCUCUAUUUAUUCAUUCUUACUGCCACAGUUUGGCUCAGUUUACGCUCUGCAUAUGCUGCUGGUUUAGUGAGGGGUUGUUUUUGCGUUUAGCUAACAACUUCCUAUCACUCUGUAUGUAGCAGAGCUCUGUUGUUAGCUGAUAAAAAGCACCAUGGUGUAGGAUUUCUUCCACUGAACUUGCAGCAGUCUUCCUGGUCCACUUUCUCACUGCAAAUACCAUUCACUGUCUCAUUGUUCCUGUGUGGCCCGUAUGUGAAAGCUUUGCGGACAUCAAAUAGCUGAGCCUAUCACCACCAAUUACAAUUAUGUGAAUGACACAAGCUCCUUUGCAGUAUCACAUUGUUUCCAUUUUUAGGUUUUAAGUAUGCAGUCUUGGCUCGGUAGUGGACUGAUGGCAAUGAUUUUUAUCCCUAUUAAUCAUGCAUUCAUCAGAAGAAUAGCCCAUAGGUCAAACAUCUUGAGUUUGCUGUCACCAGCAUGAAUGAGUAACGUGUUCAGACACUAAAUUAAUUGUCAGUUUACAU